rnacentral:rRNA from 1 species
AUUGAACGCUGGCGGCAGGCUUAACACAUGCAAGUCGAACGAGUGGCGGACGGGUGAGUAAUGCUUGGGAAACUAGCUUAUGGAGGGGGAUAACUACGGGAAACUGUAGCUAAUACCGCGUACCAUAGGAUGAGCCCACGUGGGAUUAGCUGGUUGGUGAGUGAACGGCUCACCAAGCCGACGAUCCCUAGCUGGUCUGAGAGGAUGACCAGCCACACUGGGACUGAGAAACGGCCCAGACUCCUACGGGAGGCAGCAGUGGGGAAUAUUGCGCAAUGGGGGCAACCUGACGCAGCCAUGCCGCGUGAAUGAAGAAGGCCUUCGGGUUGUAAAGUACUUUCGGUAGGGAGGCGUUAACUACAGAAGAAGCACCGGCUAACUCCGUGCCAGCAGCCGCGGUAAUAC